AAAACCUUUGGAGAGUGGCACCGCAGCGCCACUAGAAUGCUUCUGAUGUCGCGCCGCAGCGCGAGUUCAGUGCUUUUGAUAGUAACUUAGGUUUUGAGCUUCAAUUAUUUCGAGACCUACUUGAGUUGAGUUUAUAUACUCAAAGAAAGUACUAAGACUAAUCCUAUAUUACCUAUACUAAGGUAUAGAGUAUGAAACUUAGGAAUGUAAUGCAUGUUAACAAGAUAUGUACAACGAACAAAGUUGGUACUUUAUCAAAGAUGUUUGAGUCCGGUUAAUAAACGUCAAUAGAGUGAUACACCAGGACGAAGGGUAAUAAGUCAUGUUGACUUUAAUAAAGAUAUUAAGUUAACACAGACAUAGAAGAGAAAGAAGCUUGUAGGAACAAUGUGAAUAGUUGUUUAAUAGCUAAUUACAGUGUGUUAUGUGAACAUAUCAUGUAGAUUCUGUAAAGGCUAUUGUGACAGUCCCCGAAUCCGGUUCGCUAUUUCUACAACUGUUUGCGGAAGAUAUAAACAUAGAUUGUUUAUACAUUAAACUUU
rnacentral:lncRNA from 1 species